rnacentral:rRNA from 1 species
UACGUAGGGGGCUAGCGUUGUCCGGAAUCAUUGGGCGUAAAGAGCGGGUAGGCGGUCCGGUAAGUCCGUUGUGAAAGUCAAGGGCUCAACCCUUGAAUGCCGGCGGAUACUGUCGGGCUAGAGUCCGGAAGAGGCGAGUGGAAUUCCCGGUGUAGCGGUGAAAUGCGCAGAUAUCGGGAGGAACACCUAUGGCGAAGGCAGCUCGCUGGGACGGUACUGACGCUGAGACGCGAAAGCGUGGGGAGCAAACAGG